rnacentral:rRNA from 1 species
AGCGAACGCUGGCGGCAGGCCUAACACAUGCAAGUCGAACGAACUCUUCGGAGUUAGUGGCGGACGGGUGAGUAACACGUGGGAACGUGCCUUUUGGUUCGGAAUAACUCAGGGAAACUUGUGCUAAUACCGAAUGUGCCCUUCGGGGGAAAGAUUUAUCGCCAUUAGAGCGGCCCGCGUCUGAUUAGCUAGUUGGUGAGGUAAAGGCUCACCAAGG